CACAGGCAAAACCCUCAUCAUUUAGCAUAUUUACAAGGAAAGAUCUUCCAUCAUCAAGACCCCCGGCACCCAGUUCACGCUCUCGUUGCUGCCAAUAGGAGGAAGAUACAGUGCAGAACAGGCCCUACCCACCCUUCGAGCCAUGAUGCCUAGCAACCCACCUGUUUAACCCCAGCCUAAUCACAGGACAAUUGACAAUGACCAGUUAAUCUACCAGCCUUUACGUCUUUGGACUGUGGGAGAGAUACGUUGGAAAUGGAAGCAAUGUUUUCAGUGCUUUCGUGGCUAUCUCAGGAUAUUCAGCCUUGACUUUGAUCCAGAUUGCCAGCAGAGAUGUUAUGUCAAACAUACUUUUCAGCCCGCCGUCAUCUGCAAGCUCGAGGAGCUGCUCUUCUUCCCGCGCUGACAUGGAUGACGCGUGUGUAAUUACCUCGUGUGUGUUUAAGUUCAACAGUGGGCGUGAGAGGGAAUGAGGAAAGGUGCAGCUGACUCAUAUCGCCAAAUCAUAUCGUUUCCUCGUGGCCCGGUAGCACAUGCUUUGCGGCCCGGUGGUUGGGGACUGCUGCCAUAAGGGAAUGGAGGAUAUGGAGGAGGAGGAGGACAUUUUGUAUAAAUUGGCUUCAGGAUUUGCACAACAUUUUGGGCUAAGUGGCCUCUCCAGUGUUGUACUGUUCUAUGUUUGCCAUAUUUGUCAUGGACUGCUCUGUAAAAAGUGAAUUUUCAUGGUAUCUAUGCCCAUCAUAAUAAACUUCAUAAGAUAGACUCUUGACCCCACAAUUUAGCUCAUUACAACUUUGUACUUUAUUGUUUGCCUACAAUGCAUUUUCUCUGUAGCUGUUACACUUUCUUCUGUUAUUGUUUUACCUUGUUCUACCUCAAUGCAAUGUGUAAUGGUCUGAUCUGUAUGAACAGUAUACAAAACAAACUUUUCACUGUA